rnacentral:rRNA from 1 species
UACGGAGGGUGCAAGCGUUGUCCGGAAUCACUGGGCGUAAAGGGCGCGUAGGCGGCUCAUGAAGGCUGUGGUGAAAGUCCGGGGCUCAACCUCGGAUCGGCCGUGGCGACUCGUGGGCUGGAGCACUGUAGAGGCGGGUGGAAUUCCGGGUGUAGCGGUGAAAUGCGCAGAUAUCAGGAGGAACACCAAUGGCGAAGGCAGCUCGCUGGGACGGUACUGACGCUGAGACGCGAAAGCGUGGGGAGCAAACAGG